rfam:Halobacillus halophilus DSM 2266 complete genome
AAAUUAGACGCAUUCUUCCUUCGUAUAUCCUCGAGAAUAUGGCUCGAGAGUCUCUACCGGGGCACCGUAAAUGUCCUGACUAUGAAGGUGGGGAUCACGUGA